rnacentral:antisense_RNA from 1 species
ACCCACUGUAGGAGCGAGCUUGCUCGCGAUCUUUUAAAAAGAUCAAAAGAUCGCGAGCAAGCUCGCUCCUACAGACGUU